GAGGGCUGUGAACGCGGGGAGCGGCGAGAGAGCGGCCGGGGCUGCGGGCGGAGCGGGGCCGGGGGCUGGCGGGACCCCGUCGGGGAUCGGGACCGGGACAAGGACUGGGAUCGGGCCCCGGAUCAGAGCCUGCCCGCCCCGCCCCGUCCCGCAGCUCGCUGCAGUUGCGGGGUCGCCAAACGCCGUCCGGAAUGGCAGCCGAGCCUGCAAGCACAUCAUGAAGUCUGGAGAUGCUUCAAAUGGCUGACAAAGGGUUGUUGACCUGCAGCUGCCUCAAAAGAGAAAUCCAUGCUGGUCUGGCACCAGGUGCCCUGAUAUUAAUUUCAAGGACUCCCUGCAGAGUCCUCCAGAGGGGGAUAAACUUUGGGGAGGAAGAUUCAGUGGAAGCACAGAUCCAAUCAUGGAGAUGCUCAAUGCUUCCAUUUCCUAUGAUCAGAGACUGUCUGAAGUUGAUAUUCAGGGGAGC